rnacentral:rRNA from 2 species
GCAAGUCGAACGAACUCUGGUAUUGAUUGGUGCUUGCAUCAUGAUUUACAUUUGAGUGAGUGGCGAACUGGUGAGUAACACGUGGGAAACCUGCCCAGAAGCGGGGGAUAACACCUGGAAACAGAUGCUAAUACCGCAUAACAACUUGGACCGCAUGGUCCGAGUUUGAAAGAUGGCUUCGGCUAUCACUUUUGGAUGGUCCCGCGGCGUAUUAGCUAGAUGGUGGGGUAACGGCUCACCAUGGCAAUGAUACGUAGCCGACCUGAGAGGGUAAUCGGCCACAUUGGGACUGAGACACGGCCCAAACUCCUACGGGAGGCAGCAGUAGGGAAUCUUCCACAAUGGACGAAAGUCUGAUGGAGCAACGCCGCGUGAGUGAAGAAGGGUUUCGGCUCGUAAAACUCUGUUGUUAAAGAAGAACAUAUCUGAGAGUAACUGUUCAGGUAUUGACGGUAUUUAACCAGAAAGCCACGGCUAACUACGUGCCAGCAGCCGCGGUAAUACGUAGGUGGCAAGCGUUGUCCGGAUUUAUUGGGCGUAAAGCGAGCGCAGGCGGUUUUUUAAGUCUGAUGUGAAAGCCUUCGGCUCAACCGAAGAAGUGCAUCGGAAACUGGGAAACUUGAGUGCAGAAGAGGACAGUGGAACUCCAUGUGUAGCGGUGAAAUGCGUAGAUAUAUGGAAGAACACCAGUGGCGAAGGCGGCUGUCUGGUCUGUAACUGACGCUGAGGCUCGAAAGUAUGGGUAGCAAACAGGAUUAGAUACCCUGGUAGUCCAUACCGUAAACGAUGAAUGCUAAGUGUUGGAGGGUUUCCGCCCUUCAGUGCUGCAGCUAACGCAUUAAGCAUUCCGCCUGGGGAGUACGGCCGCAAGGCUGAAACUCAAAGGAAUUGACGGGGGCCCGCACAAGCGGUGGAGCAUGUGGUUUAAUUCGAAGCUACGCGAAGAACCUUACCAGGUCUUGACAUACUAUGCAAAUCUAAGAGAUUAGACGUUCCCUUCGGGGACAUGGAUACAGGUGGUGCAUGGUUGUCGUCAGCUCGUGUCGUGAGAUGUUGGGUUAAGUCCCGCAACGAGCGCAACCCUUAUUAUCAGUUGCCAGCAUUAAGUUGGGCACUCUGGUGAGACUGCCGGUGACAAACCGGAGGAAGGUGGGGAUGACGUCAAAUCAUCAUGCCCCUUAUGACCUGGGCUACACACGUGCUACAAUGGAUGGUACAACGAGUUGCGAACUCGCGAGAGUAAGCUAAUCUCUUAAAGCCAUUCUCAGUUCGGAUUGUAGGCUGCAACUCGCCUACAUGAAGUCGGAAUCGCUAGUAAUCGCGGAUCAGCAUGCCGCGGUGAAUACGUUCCCGGGCCUUGUACACACCGCCCGUCACACCAUGAGAGUUUGUAACACCCAAAGUCGGUGGGGUAACC